CCGGAUGCAUCCCCAGCAUGCAAGAGCGCGCGUUUCCGGUGCCACCGCCGCUCACCUCGCUGAACGAUGGACCCUUUCUUCCCUCACCCGGCGCACAUGAAACGCCCAACCCACGAAUCAUUUCUCUCAGCCCAACAGGCCGACGUGCCCCUCCACGCCCGCUUCAAGGCAGCGACUCGAAAAGCCGUGAGCGAUGACGUUCUCGAUUCUGACCCCCGACCAGAGAGUCGCCGCGGGAGGGCUGCUCGCCCUCGCCCUCCGCCAUGCGCAGCUCCUCCAAAUCCUCCCCUUCGGUUCCUCCUCCUUCUCCAUCUUUACCAGCGCCGACGACGGCCGAAGCAGCAGCAGCAGCACCACCGACAAGGAUGGCGAAUCCUCCCUCCCCCAUCAUCAUCGUCAUCAUCACAAGAUCCACAAGUCUGGCGGCCUCCUUCGUCCCGUUUUCGAGUUGCUGGAUAUUGAAUCUAUGGACUGGCCUGGACUGCGUGAAAUGGUAGCGCACAUGAAGGGCGAUGGCAAGGAAGGGGAUAGCCACUCCUCCCAGCUCUGGACCCAUGAAUCGCAUGGCCUUCUUCGUCCCGUUUUUCGGUUCUUGGAGAUUGAUUCCAAGGCCUGGCCCGUGUUGGAGAAAGCGGCUGUUUCUUCUCCAGCUAGGGAACAAGUUGUGAUGUUCCUGAAGACAAUUUUUGAUGACGAGGAAGCAUGCUCAGAAAGAUCAAAUCAAGAAUUUGCAUUGACAGAAGCAGUUGAUUAUAUGGUAAAGGAUUUGCAAACUUCUUCUGCCUCAGCUGAGGCAGUAAAGAAGCACAACAAGCACAAAGAUAAAUAUCAUGAAAGAAUCACUUCUGAUGUGAUGUGUAGAAUUUCUGAAGUGACAUGUAAGCCAUAUGAAAUCUUUGAAAUGACAAAGCUGGAGAGCUUAUUCAGUAGAGAGGAGGCACACAGUCAAUCUAACAAUGAGCAUGGUGAAAAAUCUUUCCUAGAGGACAUUUUAGUCAAACAUCAGCGGAAAGUGGUAGUUCUAUAUGAACUUCUUUCUGCCUGUGUGGCUGAUAUACCUCAAGAGUGUAAGAAACCUUCACAACACAGGAAAGGCUAUGAUGCCCGUCACCGUGUCGCUCUACAAUUGUUGGCAAAGUGGCUCAAUGUCGAGUGGAUAAAAAUGGAAGCUAUGGAGAUUAUGGUUGCUUGCUCUGCAAUGACUGCAGCAAAAGAAGUACAGUCAGAAGAAUGUGAAUCAACAGAUAACAGCUGGUCUGGAUGGAAACGUAGCGGCAUCAUUGGUGCAGCUGCACUUGCCGGAGGAACGUUGUUGGCCAUUUCUGGAGGUCUAGCUGCUCCAGCAAUUGCUUCAGGAUUUAGUGCUCUAUCUCCCACACUGGGAACCUUGGUCCCUGCUAUUGGAGCAAGUGGCUUUGCUGCAGCAGCGAGUGCUGCAGGAUCAGCUGCUGGCUCUAUAGCUGUUGCUGCAUCCUUUGGAGUUGCUGGAGCUGGACUUUCAGGUAGCAAAAUGGCUAGAAGAAUUGCAGACAUCGAAGAGUUCGAAUUCAUACCAAUGGGAGAAAACCAUAACCAGGGUCGUCUAGCAGUCGAUAUCUUUGUUUCUGGUUUUAUAUUCGAAGAGGAAGAUUUUAAAAGGCCCUGGGAAGAAAUUGAAGAUAACUUGGAAAGGUAUGCUCUUCAGUGGGAGUCAAAGCAUUUAAUUGCAGUGAGUACUGCAAUCCAAAAUUGGCUUACAACAAAAAUGACAACAGAAUUGGUGAAACAAGGUGCCAUGAUGACUGUCUUAAGCACACUUGUUUCUGCAUUAGCCUGGCCAACUACAUUACUUUCAGCUACUGAUUUCAUAGAUAGCAAAUGGUCGAUCGCGAUUGAUAGAUCAGAUAAAGCAGGAAAGCUUCUUGCUGAAGCAUUGUUGAAGGGGUUGCAGGGAAACAGGCCGGUGACCCUUGUUGGCUUUUCUCUAGGAGCACGAGUUAUCUUUAAAUGUUUAGAACAUUUGGCUAAAUCAGUAGAUAAUGAGGGACUUGUACAAAAGGUUGUUCUUCUUGGUGCGCCAAUUUCCCUCAAAGGCGAACAAUGGGAGAGUGCUAGAAAGACAGGUUAGUUGUGACUUGUGAGAUGUUUAGUGCUGAAGAGUCCAUUGAGAGAUUUAUGGGUAUGUUGCAAAAGCAGGGUCAGUAGGAGAAAAUCUUUCUCCACUUCUUUGAGGCCUAAUCAAGGAUUCUCAAAUCAUCUUGAAGUUUGGGCCUUCUAAAUGGGAUAACCAGGCCAUAUUGGGGGAAAUUGGGCCAAACCAACCAAUUCUAGCCAAUUUCAGAUGAUGUAACCCAAUUCGCCUAGGUUGAACUUGAACUGACCCCAUAUAAUCCUCCGUCUCGGCUUCUCAGCUGCCCUCAAUCCCAAUCCAAUCUCUCUUCUCUCCUCGCCUUUCUUUUUGAUCACCCUAGGCCACUGCUUCCUAUCACCCUCCCCUCCCCCUCUCCCUGAUCAACCAGCACCAUUGAUCUCCUGAGUCACCUCUCUCUUUUAUCUCCUUGCUGCCACUUUGGUCACCCUCAAUUGCUACCGCUGGUCGCCCUACCCCCUCUCCCUACUCAAUCCCAGCUCCCCACCCUCCUGUCUUCCACUCCAGGACCUCCAAAUCCUCAGGGUUAGAACUUGUCUAUCAGGAGCUGGAGGUCAUAGAUCGAGGUCUGAAACAUCCACCACCGCCAUCAGAUGGUUGCUGGGAGAUUUGUGAAUGUUUUCUCCACAAAUGACUGGAUACUUGGAAUUACUUUCCGUGCAAGCUUGAUGACCCAAGGUUUGGCAGGAAUUCAAGCCAUCAAUGUGCCUGGAAUUGAAAAUGUUGAUGUUACUGAUAUCAUUGAUGGCCACUCUUCAUAUCUUUGGGCUGCAAGCGAAAUCCUGCGAAAGUUUGAUGCUUGAUACCCUAUUUUCUAGUAUCCUGCCAAAAAUAAAUUCAGUUCUUAGCUCUUUGCAGCUUUUGUUGUUAAACGAAGAUGUGCCACUUCCUGACAUAAUUGCAUGUCCGGAUAUUUCUGGUGAAAGUCUUCUUUUUUUUUAUUCAAUGAAGUAAGGCCUUCCUGUUAACUAUAACUUCAGAAGAUGGUUGUAUGGCAAAAAAUUAUCUUGAAUGCUGAUAUUAUAAUAAAGGUUGACUCCUAAAAAUAUGAACAUCUGAAAAUAAAAUUAUGGAUGGCUCUUGUAAGCGUUAGUUACAUGUAAGAUGAUUAUCAAACGGAAAAAAUUGUGGUCUGCAAUUGUUGUGAUGAGGCCCA